ensembl:lncRNA novel transcript
GCCACAGAGACAAGCACUACCAGUUCUAAUAGGCAAUAUAGGAAGGGCACACUCACUAAACUUCCUCCGUCCCUUCUAUUCUCAGCGCCCGCCUGGCAGGACGACUGAGCAAGGCUUUGGAAAACCAGAGAGAUUAGAGCGAAUGGGGAAAUGGAGAGAGAACCUGAAAGAGCCCCAAACUCGAGGACCUAUUGCUCCCCAAGAAUAACAUCUUCCAGAACUAGACAGAAACUAAGCGUCUGGAAACCCUGAAAUCCUUGGAGGAGUAGCAUCAUCCUGACCCUCUGUGCUCCUUUUGGCAAAGGACUUGCUUCCAUUGUUUGUUUGUUCAAUUGUCUGUUUGUUAAAUAAAUAAAACUCUUUUCAUAUAUCUUUAAAAGUA